GCUGGUUGUGCCCAUGAAAAACUACUACAGGGGCUGGCAGUCCGGUGACUGAGUGGGGCCUGAUUAGUAGCGCCUGUGAGGAUAGACUGCUACAGCUGUCAGUUGGUAUCUGCACCAAGCAUGUCACAUUUGACUGAUAUUGCCCAUGCAAUAGGUCAACUUCAAGCUGGAGUUCCACAAAAUGUUCCAGUGUUAUUCAGAUUUGGCCCUGGAAACAUCUUCUACAGAUUUGCAGUUAAGGUUUGCAAAAUGAUAUAACUGAUAGCUCAUUGUACCCAAAAUAAAUUUCACAGACCAAAUCUCCAGUCUCAUGGAGCUGCCAGGAGGCCCUGCCAUAAUUGUUCUUCACAAUCAGGCCCACUUAUACUGGUGUCAGCAACUUGUGCACUAGAACCUGAACAUAUGGAGGAAAGUUGUGUUCAGCAAUGAGUCAAGAUUCUACUUAUGGAUUAUAGAGUCAAAGUGUUGAGAAGACACUAAGAGCACUAUGCUAUAUGCUGGACUGACAGGGUAGAGCUAGUAUGACGGUUUGGGAGCAACCUCUCCCUCAAUGGAAAAACAAGUCUUUUCAUCAUUGGCGGUCAUUUCAAUGAAGAGAGAUAUCAAGAUUAGAAUGUGCAACUAGUACCUAUCCUUUGCUCUCCGAUGCAUUCAUCGGAGUAUGAAUGUGUGAAUGAAUGUAGGAAGCACUGAGUUUAGAGAAAGUGCUUGUGAGAAUGGGUGUGAUUGGGUGAUGUGGCAUGUUGUAAAGAGUGCUUACUCCUGGAGAGUAGAAAAGCGCUAUAUAAGAGUCAGUCCAUUUACCAUUACACUGGCAGAGAACAUUUGGCAUGGAUUUUUUUCUUGGACGCAGGCCACAUACUCAACUAAAUGGUAAAUGGACUGGUUCUUAUGUAGCACUUUUCUACUCUCACUGAGCACUCAAAGCACUUUAUACAACUCGUGCAUUCUAAGCUGCAUUCUAACCCAAUCAUACAAGCGCGUUAUCUAAGGUUUUUAGUGUUUCUAUCAAACAUUCACUCGCAUUCACACUCCGAUGGAUGCAUCGGAGGGCAAAAUGGGGUUAAUAUCUUGCCCAAGGAUAUUUGGCAUGUAGACUAAAGGAGCCUGGGAUCAAACCACCAACCUUCCGGUGAGUAGGUGACCCGCUCCACCACCUGAGCUACCGCCACCCCAGCUCUGCUGCUGCUCAACUCACAAAUACAUUUUCCUUACAAAUGUGACACCAUUAAAGGAGAAAUAAACAGGAUUCACAAUGGUAUAAUAUUUAUUGCUGAGAAUUAUUUUUACAACAAAGAAAUCUUUUGUUACAUUGUUUUAUCUUAUAUAUAAAAUCAAUAAGCAUGCAUUAGCUGCGGUGUCAGUGACAAAAAGCUGAUUUUCUUUUCAGUGUCUUAAAAAUAGUUUUAGUCCACCUCUGAAUCUGUUUAUUAAUUCAACAGCUCUGUAUCACAUUUUGGAUGAAAAAAAUCUGACUUUUUUUUUUUUUUUAAUAUGAGUCUGAUUUAUGUUGAGGUCACACACCACCCAAAAAAGUAAAGAAAGGAAAUAACUGGCAACAUCUGUCAUCAGUCC
ensembl:lncRNA